AAAAUGUAACAGUAUUUUCUACUUAAUUGUUUCAUAUCACAUUUCUGUCAUAAGCUCCCCUUCCUAAUCAAUCUAGAAGCUGAUUCCCCAAAGUUAAGGAAUUAUUCCCAUGAAAACUGUGCUGAAAUCAGACAAGAGAAGAAAGCUGACUCAGGGAAAGGUGUCGACCGAGAGACUUGUCUAUGACUUGUUCUAAAAUUAUUA